rnacentral:rRNA from 1 species
CUUUCUUUGCUGGCGACCGGCGCACGGGUGAGUAACACGUAUCCAACCUGCCCUUUACUCGGGGAUAGCCUUUCGAAAGAAAGAUUAAUACCCGAUAGCAUAAUGAUUCCGCAUGGUUUCAUUAUUAAAGGAUUCCGGUAAAGGAUGGGGAUGCGUUCCAUUAGGCUGUUGGUGGGGUAACGGCCCACCAAGCCUUCGAUGGAUAGGGGUUCUGAGGGGAAGGUCCCCCACAUUGGAACUGAGACACGGUCCAA